UUAUAUAUGGUGUAACUAAACACAUUAGCUUUUCAAGCUAAAAAUAUAAUUUUAUUAUAUCAG
rnacentral:tRNA from 1 species